rnacentral:rRNA from 12 species
AAGUAAAAGUCGUAACAAGGUUUCCGUAGGUGAACCUGCGGAAGGAU